UACGUAGGGUGCGAGCGUUGCCCGGAUUUACUGGGCGUAAAGGGCGCGUAGGCGGCGUGACAAGUCACUUGUGAAAUCUCCGGGCUUAACCCGGAGCGGCCAAGUGAUACUGUCGUGCUAGAGUGCGGAAGGGGCUACUGGAAUUCUCGGUGUAGCAGUGAAAUGCGUAGAUAUCGAGAGGAACACCAGUGGCGAAGGCGGGUCUCUGGACGAUUCCUGACGCUGAGGCACGAAAGCCAGGGGAGCAAACGGG
rnacentral:rRNA from 1 species